UUUAAUUGCAUUGCCAAAUCGUAGGGACACUUUCUAUAAACAAAGCAAUGAAUUGGUAAAUCCCAGCACUUGUACAAGUAUUACAUUUCAUCUCCACAUUAUAAUAACUCUGGCUAUUCAUCUUAUUCUAUUUGUUAGAACAAAAAUUCAUGUGAGUCUGAAAACAAUGACAAUGAUGACUUAUUCCUGUCCAAUGAAAAGCAUUGUCAAGAAGAUCCUAUUUACAAGGAAGUAUCAUAUCAAGGAGCAGAACCAUCAUCCCCACAAUGCUCUACUAAUCAAUCUACUCAACAGAAGGUAUGUUGUUUCAGUCAUGGAAAGCAAGUUACAAUCUGUAUCAUAUAAUAUUUUCACUUCCUUUUAGCUUGAUGCCCUUAAAAGGAAUCCAACUGAUGGUAGAAUAAUAAAGAAAAUGAAGCUGACUAAGAAUCAACAAGGAGUGCUCCGAGAUACUACAGCCAUGACACGACGAGUGCUCACACCAGAUAAGGGUGCAGGCUAUAAGGUGGACAAGCA